GUAUGUAUAUAUUUGAAUAUUGACUAGGGUAUAUACAGAUACAUAAUAUUGUACGUAUAUACAAUGCAUAUAUACACUAUUAUACAUAUAUAUAUAUAUAUACGAAACGGAAGGGGAGAGUGGCACCUUUUAUUUGCGCCUCGUUAUUCUGAGCUCUGGCACAUUCCGAGCGACACAAGCUCAGGGUUAGGCCUAGCCGAUGACCCCAAUCUACGUGUAACCGGCACUCGCCUGAGCAUGUAUACAUAAUUUCAAUUAUUUAUGGAAAUGAAAACUGAACUUCAAGAUUCACAAGGGUGAACGUAUUAAACACGGGCAUAACGUAUGAACAAGAAUGAGAAUUUGCAGACGCAAUUACGGAAUUUAUUGUGGUUAUCGAUUGGUUUCAUUAUGUUACAUAAUAUAUUCAUACAUAUUUAUACAUAACUCAUACAGAACACACGCAUACCACACACACAUGUUCUUGUCACUUUUGGUAAGUUAAAUACACAAUAACAAUAACAGUAAUGAUAAUAAUAAUAAUAAUAAUGAUGAUGAAGAUGAUGAUGACGAUGAUGAUGAUGAUGAUGAUAAUGAUGAUGAUGAUGAUGAUGAUGAUGAUAAUGAUGAUAACAACAAUAAUAAAAUAAUAUUAACAACAAUAAUGAAAACGGUUAGUAUACCAAAGAAUUAGCGAAGACUUCGCCACAUUACACGAUAAGUCAUCUACAUAUGAUAUAGACCGUAUUAUAUAUCCCUAUUGUAUAAUUGAAGACAUAUAUGUCCGUGUGCAUCUAUGCGAUAUAUAGGUAACAAAAGUUAAGAAAAUAAGUAAACAAAAUGUGUAUAAGUAUAUGCGUACCUACUUAUAUAUAUAUACAUAUAUAAAAUUUCAGCACUUAAUUUCCUAUAUGAUAUUGAAUGAGUAAAGCAACAUAUAAUAAUGGGCUUAUACACUGUAGGAGAUAAUAAUGUAACUAUCAAUUAUAUAACAUAAGAUCGGGAAAGUGGAAAAAUGAAUAAAAAUAAUAAUAAAUAAACAAACAAACGAAUACCUAUCGUAUAGGAUUUUGAAUAAAACCACAUAGAGCCAUUUAGCGUAGCCAGGUCUUUUGGAGUAAACAGUCGAGUUACAACAGACGGGUAUAAAUGACUCAUACAUAUAGACAGACACUGAGAAAACGCGAUAUUGGUGCGUAUAAGGAUUAUAUAUGAGGUAUUCCACACCAUUUCACCUAAUCGGGAAGGUCACCGACGCUGAUCUUGGUGUCAAUUUUUUUCUCAAUUCGUCUAUCGAAAAAAAAACACGUGUUCGGCCGUUUUUCGAUUAGGCAACCUGUGUCGAUUUUAUGAAUUUUCCGAUUUUUCAACUUUUUCGAAACAGACUUUUUUCAACUGGCUCUAUCUUCAAGAGCUUUCAUUCUUUUCAAAAACUGAUACAAGUAUAAAAUGUGUCAAUAAGUCCGAGCUUUCUGAAAAAAAUUUUUGAAAAUUUUUUGAAUUCCGACACCUUCGAUUUUCCUGAAACUUUUUACUUGCAUUCGAGCAGUUACAAUCAAGUUUUCCUCCGAAGGAAAUUAUGGACUUCCGAUUCGUUCGGGAGUUACACCAUCAUAAGUGCCGAAAAAUUGGAAAUAUCUUACGGAAAUCAAUCUUAACUUCAAUCAGACAAGUUUUUAUGUUAUAAAAAUACAUGUUUGCUGAGAAAAAAAACUUUUCGGAAUAUCCCAAACAAUAUAAAUAAAAACGAGAUCACGAUUUUUCUUUUCUAUGCCAGAUAUAUUUUCAGGUAGAAAAUUUCUAAAUAUGGGUGUUUUUUUUUGUUUUGCUUCCUCAUAGAGGAAGCUUUGUUUCCGUGAAAUUUUUUUUUUUUUUUUUGAGAUUUUCAUGCCAAUGUUUUCAAAAUGUCUUAAAACGUUGAAAAAUACAUUUUUUUUUUUGAUUUUCCGUAAGUGUGUGUGUGUGUAUGUGUGUGUGACAAAAAUGGUUGUACGCUCUCUAACUUUCGUAAAUUUCAAGCUAUGGUUAUAAUUUUUUUUGCACAAAUUGGGUAGCGUACGAGAUCGAUCGGUAUUGAAUUUGACAGGAAUCCCUCAAGGGAUGUUCUUUUUUUUCGAUAGACGAAUUGAGAAAAAAAUUGACACCGAGAUCGGCGUCGGUGACCUUCCCGAUUAGGUGAAAUGGUGUGGAUAACUCAUAUAUAUAUAUGAUUAGUUCUUACCAGAGCAGCUUUCGAAUUAACUCAGACGCACGGGGCUUCAGCUUGCUGAAUAGCGAUACCUAUAAUUAUUACAUAUACAUACUACUAGAGACGUGGUUUCUCUCGAUGGAUUUUAUCGAUUUAGUUGGUUUCGAGACGUUACAUGAAUCGUAAGUGUCGCCUCUGUAGCCGCAGCAUAAUUACGCGAUUAGUUCAACGUUUAUUGUACCGCAACGAAUAUUAUCGAAUAUUUAUCGACCGGAUUUCAAAUCUUCACGUAGCUAGAAUACAUUGAAUCUAUGAGUAACAGACAACUUCCCCGUUGAACAAUAUAUUUAAAUAAAAAUACAGCCGCGAUCGAUUCCGGCACUGCAUAUCGUGUGUGUCAAGAAAUUUCUCGCUUUUAUAAAUCGCCACUUGAUCGUUCGUAAUGAAGUUCUACGAUGCGGUCGUAUCUCCAUCCUACAGAAACCAUGAAACACGUUGUCUGUUCGGAGAAACAAAAACAAAAAUGUGUGAAACGAAAAAAAAAAAUACGCUCGCCCCUCACCCCAAACAAAAUACCU